GAAUGGCUCAGUGAGGCUUUCGGACUGGCCCAGAGAGGUCGGCAACGACCACUCAGGGCCGGAAAGUUAUCCAAACUCGGUCAUUUAGAGGAAGUAAAAGUCGUAACAAGGUCUCCGUUGGUGAACCAGCGGAGGGAUCAUUA
rnacentral:rRNA from 1 species